rnacentral:lncRNA from 1 species
AAAAGCAAGUGUUAAAUUACGGUAUGUGCCAUGUUCUCUCUUUUCUUCCUUACAACUUUUUCUUUUCCAUUUUGCUUUUGGUACUUAUAACCAUCUAGCAUCUCAGUCUUUAGUCUAUUUUUUCUUAUUUUUAAUAUUAUAUUUUAGAAGAUAUCAAUCUUUGGCCCUUAAAGCUUUAUUAUAUUUAUUUAGUAAAUAAGUUACUUAUACAAAUUCUUAUAUGUGUGUGUCAUCAGGCAUGUUUAGCAUGCUCCCUUUCUGCAAUACGCGAUUAAAGCAAUCUUGUUGUUUCCUUAUACAAAUUGUUUAAUGUGCCAUAGGCCAAAAUGAGCAGAAAAACUUACUUCUAAUAUGGAUAUUACGAUUUUGCUAUUUUCGGCCAAUAACACAAUGAUACGUGAAAAAGUUAUUUUACGUAUCAUUGUGUUAUUAGUCGAAAUAGCAAAACAGUGUUAUCCCCAUUGUACGAGAAUAUUUCUCUAAAAUGAGAUGUAAACUACCAACCCAAAGACCGAAUAUUUAUAAAUAUUUUCAUACGGAAAUUGCAUUCAACUGGAAGUGGGAGCUUGUAGCUUUGCCUUCCUUUAUGACGAAAAAUAGAAAGAAAAAAGAAACUAAUAAAACUUAUUAAAAAAUAAAAUAAAAAAGGAAGUUAGAAUCUGACAAAACAAGGUCCAAGCAAAUGAAGAUUUUACACCAAACAGAAGAAGAUUAGAAGAAAAAGUCGCCCCUAGGAAUGUUUCUUUUGUGUCCGAAGAGAGCAUCCCUAGGAAAAAGUCUGCUAUGCUCCACCAAAGAUUUAGGAUUCCAAGUUAACUAUACUAUAGUGGGAGACAACCUAAUUCAUCUCUUCCAUCAUACUAUGUGCAAUCAUUAAUCAUC